UGCAAACUGCGAAUACCGGAGAAUGUUAUCACGGGAGACACACGGCGGGUGCUAACGUCCGUCGUGAAGAGGGAAACAACCCAGACCGCCAGCUAAGGUCCCAAAGUCAUGGUUAAGUGGGAAACGAUGUGGGAAGGCCCAGACAGCCAGGAUGUUGGCUUAGAAGCAGCCAUCAUUUAAAGAAAGCGUAAUAGCUCACUGGUCGAGUCGGCCUGCGCGGAAGAUGUAACGGGGCUAAACCAUGCACCGAAGCUGCGGCAGCGACGCUUAUGCGUUGUUGGGUAGGGGAGCGUUCUGUAAGCCUGUGAAGGUGUGCUGUGAGGUAUGCUGGAGGUAUCAGAAGUGCGAAUGCUGACAUAAGUAACGAUAAAGCGGGUGAAAAGCCCGCUCGCCGGAAGACCAAGGGUUCCUGUCCAACGUUAAUCGGGGCAGGGUGAGUCGACCCCUAAGGCGAGGCCGAAAGGCGUAGUCGAUGGGAAACAGGUUAAUAUUCCUGUACUUGGUGUUACUGCGAAGGGGGGACGGAGAAGGCUAUGUUGGCCGGGCGACGGUUGUCCCGGUUUAAGCGUGUAGGCUGGUUUUCCAGGCAAAUCCGGAAAAUCAAGGCCGAGGCGUGAUGACGAGGCACUACGGUGCUGAAGCAACAAAUGCCCUGCUUCCAGGAAAAGCCUCUAAGCAUCAGGUAACAUCAAAUCGUACCCCAAACCGACACAGGUGGUCAGGUAGAGAAUACCAAGGCGCUUGAGAGAACUCGGGUGAAGGAACUAGGCAAAAUGGUGCCGUAACUUCGGGAGAAGGCACGCUGAUACGUAGGUGAAGCGACUUGCUCGUGGAGCUGAAAUCAGUCGAAGAUACCAGCUGGCUGCAACUGUUUAUUAAAAACACAGCACUGUGCAAACACGAAAGUGGACGUAUACGGUGUGACGCCUGCCCGGUGCCGGAAGGUUAAUUGAUGGGGUUAGCGCAAGCGAAGCUCUUGAUCGAAGCCCCGGUAAACGGCGGCCGUAACUAUAACGGUCCUAAGGUAGCGAAAUUCCUUGUCGGGUAAGUUCCGACCUGCACGAAUGGCGUAAUGAUGGCCAGGCUGUCUCCACCCGAGACUCAGUGAAAUUGAACUCGCUGUGAAGAUGCAGUGUACCCGCGGCAAGACGGAAAGACCCCGUGAACCUUUACUAUAGCUUGACACUGAACAUUGAGCCUUGAUGUGUAGGAUAGGUGGGAGGCUUUGAAGUGUGGACGCCAGUCUGCAUGGAGCCGACCUUGAAAUACCACCCUUUAAUGUUUGAUGUUCUAACGUGGACCCGUGAUCCGGGUUGCGGACAGUGUCUGGUGGGUAGUUUGACUGGGGCGGUCUCCUCCUAAAGAGUAACGGAGGAGCACGAAGGUUGGCUAAUCCUGGUCGGACAUCAGGAGGUUAGUGCAAUGGCAUAAGCCAGCUUGACUGCGAGCGUGACGGCGCGAGCAGGUGCGAAAGCAGGUCAUAGUGAUCCGGUGGUUCUGAAUGGAAGGGCCAUCGCUCAACGGAUAAAAGGUACUCCGGGGAUAACAGGCUGAUACCGCCCAAGAGUUCAUAUCGACGGCGGUGUUUGGCACCUCGAUGUCGGCUCAUCACAUCCUGGGGCUGAAGUAGGUCCCAAGGGUAUGGCUGUUCGCCAUUUAAAGUGGUACGCGAGCUGGGUUUAGAACGUCGUGAGACAGUUCGGUCCCUAUCUGCCGUGGGCGCUGGAGAACUGAGGGGGGCUGCUCCUAG
rnacentral:rRNA from 1 species